rnacentral:rRNA from 1 species
UACGUAGGGUGCAAGCGUUAAUCGGAAUUACUGGGCGUAAAGCGUGCGCAGGCGGUUCUUUAAGUCAGAUGUGAAAUCCCCGGGCUCAACCUGGGAACUGCAUUUGUGACUGUAGAGCUGGAGUGCGGCAGAGGGGGAUGGAAUUCCGCGUGUAGCAGUGAAAUGCGUAGAUAUGCGGAGGAACACCGAUGGCGAAGGCAAUCCCCUGGGCCUGCACUGACGCUCAUGCACGAAAGCGUGGGGAGCAAACAGG